GUCCACGCUGUAAACGAUGGGCACUAGGUGUCGCUGGUAUUGACCCCUGCGGUGCCGCAGCUAACGCAUUAAGUGCCCCGCCUGGGGACUACGGCCGCAAGGUUAAAACUCAAAGGAAUUGACGGGGGCCCGCACAAGCGGUGGAGCAUGUGGUUCAAUUCGACGCAACGCGAAGAACCUUACCCGGGCUAGACAACAGAGGACAGCCUUAGAAAUAGGGUCUUCCCUUCGGGGACCUCUGGUUCAGGUGCUGCAUGGCUGUCGU
rnacentral:rRNA from 1 species